rnacentral:pre_miRNA from 1 species
ACGGAGUCGUCGUUUUCUGGUGUAGCAUCAGCAAGAUUCACAUGCAGAGUUUAGUGAUGGUGGCCCAAUGAUAUUAUAUUAACACUCGCCUCCCUCUAAUUCUCUCUCUAUACCUCUCUUCUCUCUUUUCACACCUUAGGGCUUUCAGUGGUGAGAAUCUUGAUGAUGCUGCAUCGGCAAUAAACGACUAAGA